GUUUGUAUGAGAAACCGCUCCUAAAUUGUUUUUUAUUUUUUAAAUAAUUUUUCAAAAAUAUAUCUACCUUACUCCCUUCUCCUAAAANACUUCACGACACAUUCCUUNCAAAAAUCUAUAGCACGUCUUCUCCUAAUUUUCUCUAAACCCUAAUUCUCUCUCAAUUCAUUUAUGCCUUCAUACAUUUUUCUCCAAAAAGUUCACCAUAUUCAUUUUGCUCCAAGCCCGAUACCAUCUUCUUGUUGGUCUUCUGCGUUGUGUUCGUCAUCGAGCGUCGAGGCGUUGUGGCUGCGUAGAUCGUGUUGGCUCUCGAAAUUCCUCGCAUCUGCAGAAACACUAGCUGUUUACAGUUCAAAUUAAAGACGAGUAAAAAGAUUGGUUGUUUCCAGAUUUCAAAGGUUAAUUUGAGAUACUUUAUAGUUUUUACUCUUAAAUCAGAAUGAAGAGCUGGGAAAUCAAGUUCAUUCUCUUUCGUAUCAUUUGAGUUUGCCAAGAACGUCCUCGGAGAUGUUUUCUAUGGACAACUUGCUUCAGUUUAAUGAUUCUGUUCCUUGUAAAAUCAGAGCAAAGAGGGGCUUU